AGAGCGAACGCUGGCGGCAUGCUUAACACAUGCAAGUCGCACGGGCAUUUCGGUGUCAGCGGCGGACGGGUGAGUAACGCGUAGGUAUCUAUCCUUGGGUGGGGGAUAACGGUUGGAAACGACUGCUAAUACCGCAUGAUAACUGAGGUUUAAAGGCGCAAGUCGCCUGGGGAGGAGCCUGCGUACGAUUAGCUUGUUGGUGGGGUAAAGGCCUACCAAGGCGACGAUCGUUAGCUGGUCUGAGAGGAUGAUCAGCCACAUUGGGACUGAGACACGGCCCAAACUCCUACGGGAGGCAGCAGUGGGGAAUAUUGGACAAUGGGCGAAAGCCUGAUCCAGCAAUGCCGCGUGUGUGAAGAAGGUCUUCGGAUUGUAAAGCACUUUCGACAGGGACGAUGAUGACGGUACCUGUAGAAGAAGCCCCGGCUAACUUCGUGCCAGCAGCCGC
rnacentral:rRNA from 1 species